rnacentral:lncRNA from 1 species
ACUAGAUCAGGUUGCCCAGGGCCCCGUCCAACCUGGUCUUGAACACCUCCAAGGACGGGGCAUCCACAACCUCCCUGCGCAGCCUGUUCCAGGCUUUCUGUCAGCUCUUUACCUGCUUUAACACCGGUCUUUGUCUUUGCAGGUGGGCACCUCCUCGGUGGUGUACCCCGCCGCCAUGUUCGCCCCGCAGGUGUCGUCCCGCGGGGUGCCGGUGGCAGAAUUCAACACGGAAGCCACUCCCGCUACAGACAGGUUCAGGUUCCACUUCCAGGGCCCAUGUGGAAGCACGCUGCCGCCUGCCUUAGCCCGCCACGAGUCCGAGAUCAUCGCCUGAGGCGGGGCGGGGGCGGUGGGGCGGGGCGGGGCGGCGGGCCCCGAUCGUGCCAAUAAAGCGUGUGGAGCGGCAGCCCCUGUGUCGUGGUCUGACUGCCGGCAACGGGAUAAAGGUAGAGCGGAAGGAAGUCCGAGGAACGACUUCGGAAGUCGGCGGAGCUUUUCCGGGUCGCGCUGAGACGCGUUGCGGAGCGUGGCCAUGGUGCGGCGGCUCAGACGGCAGAAGGGGAAGGCGGCCCCCGUCGGCCCGUCCGCCGCUUCGCCCUCCUCGGAGGAUGAGGAGCCCCCCGAGGAGCUGUCGUUCGGCACGGCCAGGGCGGAGGCCGAGGCCGAGAGGAAGCUCGUGGGGGAGGCGGCGCGGAGGCACCGGGAGCUGCUGAAGGAGAAGCGGCGGCGGCGGCAGGAGCUGUUCACGGAGCAGAAGAGAAGGAAGCUGCUGCCCGAGGCCCUGCUGCAGGAGCUGGCCGCAGCCCCGCCUGCACGAUGAGCCGAGCCCCCCUGCUGCACCAGGUACUUUGGAUGUUCUGUUUCCACAGCUCACAGUUAGCAGAGAAUGAAGGUGGGAUUAGACCUUCCCUUUCCAGCAGCGCGUGGCUUUUCUAUUGCACUGAUUGUUCUUUUUUGGCCUGUACGGAAUCCCAUCUAUUUGGGACUGAUGGCAGGGAACAGGAAAGCACUGUAGCUUUUAGGCUGCCUUUUUCAGCAGCUCUCUGAGGGCACCGCUGCUGGGUUUUACCAAUCAGAGCAGCUGAAAAGUGCCUCCUGGCUGCUUGUUCACAGCUUGUGUUGCUUCACAGAAUCACAGAAUCACAGAAUCACAGAAUCACAAAAUGACCCAGGUUGGAAGGGACCUCAAGGAUCAUGUAGUUCCAACCCCCCUGCCUAGCAGGGCCACCAAACAUACACAUU